rnacentral:rRNA from 1 species
UACGGAGGAUGCGAGCGUUAUCCGGAUUUAUUAGGUUUAAAGGGUGCGUAGGCGGGAUGCCAAGUCAGCGGUAAAAAUGCGGUGCUCAACGCCGUCGAGCCGUUGAAACUGGCGUUCUUGAGUGGGCGAGAAGUAUGCGGAAUGCGUGGUGUAGCGGUGAAAUGCAUAGAUAUCACGCAGAACUCCGAUUGCGAAGGCGGCAUACCGGCGCCCUACUGACGCUGAGGCACGAAAGCGUGGGUAUCGAACAGG